AAACCAACCAUCACGGUGGGCGUACAGUGCUUGGGAUUCUCGUGAAAGAAAACGACGGUUAAAAUGCAGUUUCCGCGCCCAAGUUCCUGCCACGACAUCCUCGACGUGGAACGCCCUCAACCACAAACACCUUCUCUGCACUCUUCUUACGUUAAAUAAACCCGCGAAAUUCCUGCUUUUCUCUUGAAAACAGCUAAUCUACCGGCGAUUGCAAUGGCGUUCUCAGCUGUAAUUGCAUUAAGAGCACUGUUCACUACCUUGGGUUGCUUGAUGCUCCUCACUCUCAUUUACAACAUCUCCAUCGACGGUCUUCCCUUCCGUAGAGAGCUUUUGACACCGUGGAUGGCGGCAACCCUCGUUGAUUUUUAUGUUAACAUUGUUGCUAUAGCAGGAUUGUAUCAAACUAUAAAUAGCUUUCUUGAGCUUGCAUACUGAACCGGAUCUAGAUGAUGGUAUAAAAUCGAGUGGUGUAACAUGUACCGUAUUGCUGUGAAGAAAUGCAUCUUUGACAUCAAGAUAAUAAAGGGGCAAGGAAUCAUCA